rnacentral:rRNA from 1 species
AGCGAACGCUGGCGGCAGGCUUAACACAUGCAAGUCGAGCGGGCCCUUCGGGGUCAGCGGCGGACGUGUGAGUAACGCGUGGGAACGUUCCUUCUGGUCUGGAAUAACCCUGUGAAACUAAGGCUAAUACCGGAUACGCCCUUUUGGGGAAAGGUUUACUGCCGGAAGAUCGGCCCGCGUCUGAUUAGCUAGUUGGGGGGGUAACGGCCUACCAAGGCGACGAUCAGUAGCUGGUCUGAGAGGAUGAUCAGCCACACUGGGACUGAGACACGGCCCAGACUCCUACGGGAGGCAGCAGUGGGGAAUAUUGGACAAUGGGCGCAAGCCUGAUCCAGCCAGGCCGGGUGAGUGAUGAAGGCCUUAGGGUUGUAAAGCUCUUUUAUCCGGGACGAUAAUGACGGUACCGGAGGAAUAAGCCCCGGCUAACUUCGUG